rnacentral:rRNA from 1 species
CGCCCUCCCGUCCGCCGCCACUCACGACCUACCGUACCGGGACGGACACGACGAGGUACGGGAAGUCGUUGCACAAGUAGGACGAAGUACUGGAUGCAGCAACGACCGCCGGUCGGGGGAGUGGAAGCGUUUACGGACGUGGUUAAACCCGUUUACGAACCCGGUAAGAAUGGACCCGCUAAGGGUUGACGAGUACGGGUAUAAGAAGACCCCGGCUAACUACGUGCCAGCAGCCGCCGGAAUAC